AGGUUCAACGAGUCUGCGACUUGGCCGAGAGGCCNGGUUAAUCUUGUGAAAUCCUAGCGUGCUUGGGCUUGCCUCUUGCAACUAGAGGCACCAACGAGGAAUUCCUAGUAGACGCAGGUCAUCAACCUGCAUCGAUUACGUCCCUGCCCUUUGUACACACCGCCCGUCGCUUCUACCGAUUGGUCGUCCCGGUGAACAGUCGGGAGGGCGCGCGCCAGGUCAGCAAUGGCCGGCGCGCGUCCGAACUUUUGUAAAUUUGGACGACUAGAGGAAGAAGAAGUCGUAACAAGGUUUCCGUAGGUGAACCUGCGGAAGGAUCAUUAGCGUUGGAUGGUUUUGCGCCAUUGUCGGAAAAUGUGGUGCGUUGCGCUCGGUUUCGGUACACGUGUCUCGCGGGGGACACGGCAUUUUUGCGAAUUGGAUCGGUUGGCUAAAGUCGAAUUGGUUGCAAAACCACAAACACAUGUACAACUCUUAGCAAUGGAUAUCUUGGUUCCCACAACGAUGAAGAACGCAGCGAAAUGCGAUACGUAAUGCGAAUUGCAGAAUUCAGUGAAUCAUCGAAUCUUUGAACGCAAGUUGCGCUUUCGAGAGCCCUCGGAAGCAUGCCUCUC
rnacentral:rRNA from 1 species